rnacentral:rRNA from 1 species
AUUGAACGCUGGCGGCAUGCUUUACACAUGCAAGUCGAACGGCAGCGCGGGCUUCGGCCUGGCGGCGAGUGGCGAACGGGUGAGUAAUACAUCGGAACGUGCCCAGCUGUGGGGGAUAGCUCGGUGAAAGCCGGAUUACUACCGCAUACGACCUGCGGGUGAAAGCGGGGGAUCUUCGGACCUCGCGCUAUUGGAGCGGCCGAUGGCCGAUUAGCUAGUUGGUGGGGUAAAGGCCUACCAAGGCGACGAUCUGUAGCUGGUCUGAGAGGACGACCAGCCACACUGGGACUGAGACACGGCCCAGACUCCUACGGGAGGCAGCAGUGGGGAAUUUUGGACAAUGGGCGAAAGCCUGAUCCAGCAAUGCCGCGUGUGUGAUGAAGGCCUUCGGGUUGUAAAGCACUUUUGGCGGGAACGAAAAGGACUGGGCCAAUACCACGGUUCGAUGACGGUACCCGCAGAAUAAGCACCGGCUAACUACGUG